rnacentral:rRNA from 1 species
AACCGCGGUUAUACGAGAGGCUCAAAUUGAUAUCGUUCGGCGUAAAGCGUGAUUAGAAGAAAAAGAACUAAGGCCGAACACCACCUUGGCUGUCACACGCUUAAGGAAGCAAGAAGCCCUACAACGAAAGUGGCCUUAAAGACCUUGAAUUCACGACCAUAAGGAAA